rnacentral:snoRNA from 1 species
GGUGGUUGGCAGUGAUGAUACAAACUUUCAGCUUACAAUGCCAGUUCUGCUUCUGAGAAUAC